UAGAGGUAUACGAUAUAUAAAAGUAACACACACGCCAUCUCCGGAUUUCUCUACACAUAUUACGUACACACUUUUAAUUGGGUUCAAUAAUAAUAUGAUCUCACUUUUUUCAGAUUUCUAAAAAUUUCCCGAACUACACACAGAGCAUUGGAUAUACCAAUUUAUACAUCUCUUUGUUACUUACAGAUAUACUGAGCUUCAUAACGAAGAAAGAAAGAUAACAUACAAAUAAUAGCGUUGAGUUCCCCACUAAUUGCCAAAUAAUUCUUGGAAAUGAACCCAGCAAGAAAGAAAAGAAAAACAAUGACAGUGAUCAUAUUCUACUAUACGUAUAUCUAUACAUAUAUAUAUUUGUAUACGCUGUACUAGACGAAACACUUGGGAACUAUCAACAAUACACAUGUAUACAAUCGAAGGAUAACCAAGAGGACGACCUUUCUAGUUCAUCUGUACUCAGUUCUUGAUUGUGUCAGCAGCCGUCCAGACGUGUUCAGACUUGCUCCUGCUUUGUUAAUAUCGGUUAUUAUUCAUCAUAUUGGCCAAUAUAAUAUUCAUCAAUUUGUCUGGACGUCUACACAUUUGAUAGCAGUUCUCAUAUACUUCCUCCUGCUCUUCAUAUAUAAGUAUACGCAGUAA